GCAAAAGUCAUGCUUUUGAUAUGCCAGUUCUUUUACAUUUUGUGGGGAAUCAUAUUAUUCGCAGGAUAUGUGUUCAUCUUUCGACGUUUACGUAAAUCAGCAAUUAACAGACGUAGGACUCUGAAGAAACACUCGAUUUCGUACCCCUCGGACGUUUCAAGGAAGUCGGUAGUUAGUUCCAUGGGAAGUCUUCCACGACCAAAGAAAUCCAGAAACAAAUCGACGCUGAACUCUGCGAUCUCUGUGACGUUGAUCGCGGCGGCCUGUGGAAUAUUCUGUAUUAUUCUGGAACUAUACGGAAUGUGCUACGUGUUCCGAGUGUUUACUGAUGGUCACGUGCCUGAACCAUGGCCGUGGUACGUGCAUCAGUUCUUAUUGCGAGUGUUCGAAAUUAUCAUGUGUGCAAUAAUGAUAUACGUUGGGUCACAACCGAUCAAAUACAAUAGGAGAAAUGACUCCAAAACGUGUUAUGUGUUCUGUUUCGUCAUGAAAAAGUGCUGCUGUUCUAGUCAAGAAAAUGGUGCUAUGGAAAUGGACCAAAACGCUUCAUUUGGCAGCUCUCAUUGCAAGAGUGCUUCCGAUAGUGAGUACGAAUCUAGUGACGCAAAAUCUUCCAGGAAGAAGAGCAAGAAUGUGAUUGUUGAACAAAAUGGGAACGGUCCCCAGCCGUGUAAGCACACUCACAUUGUCAUAGAGGAGGGACUGGUCAGGUUCCGAAGUGAGGACGAACUGACUGACGGACUCUCCGACCGCGCGUCCAGUCUUCCCGACCUCCUCCACGGCAAGGCGGGGUCCAACACAGCAGUCAACUCUGGGAUGUGUAACAUGGCGUUCAAUUCCAAUGGAAAUGUGACAAGUGCCCCAUUACAUAGGACCAACACCGAACCAUCUGAUAUGAUGGAGAAAAAUUUGGGCAGUGUGGGGACCAUAGGGACCAUAGGGGCCAAUAUUCCGUCAAUAAACCUCGCCCAUAGUCUACAGUGGGAGUUCGACAAAGCAUACGACCGCAGCUUCCAGUUAGCAGACGAUCAUGACGACACACCUCCCGCCUACAGCGAAGUGGAGAUGGAGGAACCCGCGACGGAUCAGAGUACCGAUAAAACGGACUCGUCUGACGGAACGGACGACUCGUGCGGACCCGCUUCACCGUCACGACUUCCGCUCAUCAAAGACAAUGACACCUCAACUGAUGACGUCAGACUUUGAUAGAGAAUGUGUUUUUCAUGUCAACCAUUUUUAUUCUUUUUUAAAGAACAUUUUUAUAAAGACUGCUUUGUUUUUUAAUAUGUGCUGAAAUAAGGACCAUUAUUAUAUUAUGAUAUUGAGAUUAGGCCUAGAAGAUCUAGUAAUUUAUUGUUUUCAUUCAAAACUCAUGUGUUUCAUCAACGUAGACCUUUGAGGUAUUUUUUAAACUUAAUAUCAAAAUCGUUUUAUUUUAUGAUUUUAGAUAUAUUUCGCAACACUUUUAAUCUUACAAGAUAUCACGUGAUUUAUUUAUUUUAUGUACUACUAUUUACUAGAAAGGAUAAUGAAAUAUUUUAUAGUAAAAACAUAUACAUGUAAUAUUUCGUGUCAUCUUUGGAAUUGAUAAAGUGUGAUGUUUCAUAGCACGUAAGAGCAUACUAAAAAACUACCAGGCAUCUUUACUGAUAUUUACAAUGUAUGUCCAGUAUGGACAAUUGUCAUUGUUUUAUUUGAAUACAAGUAUAUUCUUGUCCACCAUGUGUUUCUUACUUCGCAUUUAUACAUGAACAAUAAACCAUAUUCUAAGGU
rnacentral:misc_RNA from 1 species